CCUACGGGUGGCAGCAGUGAGGAAUAUUGGUCAAUGGACGCGAGCCUGAACCAGCCAAGUAGCGUGAAGGAUGACUGCCCUACGGGUUGUAAACUUCUUUUAUAAAGGAAUAAAGUGGGGCACGUGUACCUUCUUGUAUGUACUUUAUGAAUAAGGAUCGGCUAACUCCGUGCCAGCAGCCGCGGUAAUACGGAGGAUCCGAGCGUUAUCCGGAUUUAUUGGGUUUAAAGGGAGCGUAGGUGGGUUGUUAAGUCAGUUGUGAAAGUUUGCGGCUCAACCGUAAAAUUGCAAUUGAUACUGGCAGUCUUGAGUACAGUAGAGGUAGGCGGAAUUCGUGGUGUAGCGGUGAAAUGCUUAGAUAUCACGAAGAACUCCGAUUGCGAAGGCAGCCUACUAAACUGCAACUGACACUGAUGCUCGAAAGUGUGGGUAUCAAACAGGAUGAGAUACCCGGGUAGUC
rnacentral:rRNA from 1 species